rnacentral:tRNA from 1 species
UCUCCCGUAGCUCAGUUGGUAGAGCAGGUGGCUGUUAACCACUUUGUCGGCGGUUCGAGUCCGUCCGGGAGAGCCA